GAUCAAGCGCGAAAAGGGCGUUUGGUGGAUGCCUAGGCAGCAAGAGGCGAUGAAGGACGUGAUACCCUGCGUUAAGCUUUGGGGAGCCGGGAAUAGGCUUUGAUCCAGAGAUCUCCGAAUGGGGAAACCCACCUGACAUUCUGUUAUAAUCACAUCCUGGAGCGAUCCGGGGGUGGCCUAUAACGGGGUGAGACAGGUACUUUUACCCUGAAUACAUAGGGGUUUAAGAGCAAACCCGGGGAACUGAAACAUCUAAGUACCCGGAGGAAAGGAAAUCAAUAGAGACUCCGUUAGUAGUGGCGAGCGAACGCGGACCAGCCGAGCCUGGAAGAAUGAGCAGAAUGGUCUGGAAAGGCCAGCGACAUGGGUGACAGCCCCGUAUGCGAAGUUCCAAGGGACGUAUCAAGUAGGGCGGGACACGUGAAAUCCUGUCUGAAGAUCGGGGGACCACCCCCGAAGGCUAAGUACUCCUUGCUGACCGAUAGCGAACCAGUACCGUGAGGGAAAGGUGAAAAGCACCCCGACGAGGGGAGUGAAACAGUACCUGAAACCGGACGCCUACAAGCAGUCGGAGGGGCCUUGAGCCCUGACGGCGUACCUUUUGUAUAAUGGGUCAACGACUUGGUCUUACGAGCAAGCUUAAGCCGAUAGGUGUAGGCGCAGCGAAAGCGAGUCUUAAAAGGGCGCAUGAGUUCGUGGGAUCAGACCCGAAACCAGGUGAUCUAGCCAUGAGCAGGAUGAAGGCACGGUAACACGUGCUGGAGGUCCGAACCAACACCCGUUGAAAAGGGUCUGGAUGACUUGUGGCUAGGGGUGAAAGGCUAAUCAAACCUGGAGAUAGCUGGUUCUCCGCGAAAGCUAUUUAGGUAGCGCCUCGACCGAAUACCCUCGGGGGUAGAGCACUGCAUGGAUGAUGGGGGCCCACAGCCUUACUGAGUCUAAGCAAACUCCGAAUACCGAGGAGUACUAGUCGGGAGACACACGGUGGGUGCUAACGUCCAUCGUGAAGAGGGAAACAACCCUGACCUGCAGCUAAGGCCCCUAAUUCGUGGUUAAGUGGGAAAGCAUGUGGGACGGCCAAAACAACCAGGAUGUUGGCUUAGAAGCAGCCAUCAUUUAAAGAUAGCGUAACAGCUCACUGGUCUAGAUAAGCUGUCCUGCGGCGAAGAUGUAACGGGGCUCAAACCACGAGCCGAAGCUCAGGAUGCACAGCGAUGUGCGUGGUAGCGGAGCGUUCUGUGAUAUAGCUCAUCAUGUCUUAUUCGCUUUAGGCCAGUAAUGGUUUGAAGUCGAAGACGGACAUGGAGAGCUUUCUGUGAAGCCGGGCUGUAAGGCAUCCGGUGGAGAGAUCAGAAGCGAGAAUGUUGACAUGAGUAGCGACAAACAGGGUGAGAAACCCUGUCGCCGAAAGUCCAAGGGUUCCUGCUUAAAGCUAAUCUGAGCAGGGUAAGCCGGCCCCUAAGGCGAGGCCGAAAGGCGUAGUCGAUGGGAACCAGGUUAAUAUUCCUGGGCCAGGAGGAUGUGACGGAUCUCGAAGGUUGUCUGCCCUUAUCGGAUUGGGUGGGCUGCUUAGAGGUUCCUGGAAAUAGCCCUCCAUCAGACCGUACCCUAAACCGACACAGGUGGACUGGUAGAGUAUACCAAGGCGCUUGAGAGAACCACGUUAAAGGAACUCGGCAAAAUGCCUCCGUAAGUUCGCGAGAAGGAGGCCCCAUCAGUAGGCAACUAUUGGUGGGGGGCACAAACUAGGGGGUGGCGACUGUUUACUUAAAACACAGGGCUGUGCGAAGCCGUAAGGCGACGUAUACAGUCUGACGCCUGCCCGGUGCUGGAAGAUUAAGAGGAGGGGUGCAAGCUCUGAAUUGAAGUCCCAGUAAACGGCGGCCGUAACUAUAACGGUCCUAAGGUAGCGAAAUUCCUUGUCGGGUAAGUUCCGACCUGCACGAAUGGCGUAACGAUCUCCCCGCUGUCUCUAACGUGGACUCAGCGAAAUUGAACUGUGUGUCAAGAUGCACACUACCCGCGGUUAGACGGAAAGACCCCAUGCACCUUUACUCCAGCUUUGCACUGGCAUCAGGAUUGUGAUGUGCAGGAUAGGUGGUAGGCAUUGAAGCGGGGACGCCAGUUCUCGUGGAGCCUCCCUUGAGAUACCACCCUUCGCCAUCUUGAUAUCUAACCGCGGCCCGUUAUCCGGGUCCGGGACCCUGCAUGGUGGGGAGUUUGACUGGGGCGGUCGCCUCCCAAACAGUAACGGAGGCGCGCGAAGGUAGGCUCAGACCGGUCGGAAAUCGGUCGUUGAGUGCAAUGGCAGAAGCCAGCCUGACUGCAAGACUGACAAGUCGAGCAGAGACGAAAGUCGGUCAUAGUGAUCCGGUGGUCCCAAGUGGGAGGGCCAUCGCUCAACGGAUAAAAGGUACUCUGGGGAUAACAGGCUGAUGAUGCCCAAGAGUCCAUAUCGACGGCAUCGUUUGGCACCUCGAUGUCGGCUCAUCUCAUCCUGGGGCUGGAGCAGGUCCCAAGGGUAUGGCUGUUCGCCAUUUAAAGAGGUACGUGAGCUGGGUUUAGAACGUCGUGAGACAGUUCGGUCCCUAUCUGCCGUGGGUG
rnacentral:rRNA from 1 species